CCUACGGGAGGCAGCAGUGAGGAAUAUUGGUCAAUGGACGAGAGUCUGAACCAGCCAAGUAGCGUGAAGGAUGAAUGCCCUGUGGGUUGUAAACUUCUUUUAUAUGGGAAUAAAAUGUGCCACGUGUGGGAGUUUGUAUGUACCAUAUGAAUAAGGAUCGGCUAACUCCGUGCCAGCAGCCGCGGUAAUACGGAGGAUCCGAGCGUUAUCCGGAUUUAUUGGGUUUAAAGGGAGCGUAGGUGGAUUGUUAAGUCAGUUGUGAAAGUUUGCGGCUCAACCGUAACAUUGCAGUUGAAACUGGCAGUCUUGAGUACGAUAGAGGUAGGCGGAAUUCGGGGUGUAGCGGUGAAAUGCUUAGAUAUCACGCAGAACUCCGAUUGCGAAGGCAGCUCACUGGACUCCAACUGACGCUGAGGCACGAAAGUGUGGGUAUCGAACAGGAUUAGAUACCCUUGUAGUC
rnacentral:rRNA from 1 species